UCCGGUUUAACACCGGCAGUCUCCUUAGAGUCCCCGGCAUGACCCGCUGGCAACUAAGGACAAGGGUUUCGCUCGUUAAGCGACUUAACGCGACAUCUCACGACACGAGCUGACGACAGCCAUGCAGCACCUGUGCAAAGGCUCCCCGAAGGGCACCCCAGGCUUUCACCCAGGUUCCUAAGCAUGUCAAGACUAGGAUAAGGUUCUUCGCGUAGCCUCGAAUUAAGCCACAUCCUCCACCGCUUGUGUGAGCCCCCGUCAAUUCCUUUGAGUUUUAGCCUUGCGGCCGUACUCCCCAGGCGGAGUGCUUAACGCGUUGGCUGCGACACCGCGGGGGUCAAUACCCCGAACACCUAGUGCCCAUCGUUUACAGCGUGGACUAC
rnacentral:misc_RNA from 1 species